rnacentral:lncRNA from 1 species
AAUUCUUAGGUUUAAAACCUUUUAAAGCAUCUCAAUACACAGUUGUCAAGAUUUUGCUAUUUUGAAGGUGUUGUGCCAGAAAGAUAAGUCAAAGGGACGGGGGAUAUGUAAGAAAAAUGCAUAGCUAAUCACACCACAGGCCAGAAUAUAAUAAACACUGCAAGCAAAAUACAACAGGUAGGAAGGGUUCAAAGAAAGAAGGCAUCACACUAGCAGGAAGAAUCAGGAAAUCUCAUGGAGGAUAUGCUGUCCUAGAUGGGUCUGGAAGGGUGGGCAGGAUUUGGAAGACAGAGACAUAGGGUAUGACUUUUCUUUUUCCACUAUGAUUCUUCAGGUUUAGGCUCUCAGCCUAUUUCAUCAGAUAGCACGUUUUUGCUGAUUUCUCUUGCAUUUCUGACUUUCUGUAUCAAUCCUCCACUACAUAGCCUCACUGAGAAACAAUCAUACCAAAUUAAUCACUGUCUCCUGAGUAAACCAAACAUUUUAAAAAAUCCCUUUGCCUCUCUCUCUGCUUGCUCACGGCUGUCUUCUCUUCCCUUAAGCGGGUUGCAAACGAAUAGAGUACAGUAGGCUUACUUCAUUUUCAGUGUCUUUCUUGACUCCCCACCCCAUGAAUAAGUGCAUUAUCUCAUAGGGAUUUCCCAAACUCUUUACAUGGUGUUUGAUUACUGUUUCUUAUAUUGUAUCACCUCAUUUAUAAGCUUGUUCCCCCAAACAAACGAUGAGACUCCUGAGGGCAUGGGCGAUGAUAAAAAUCUCUGCAUCCUCAGUCCCGGUGUCUCUCCCAUGCUAACUAUCCACCGUCCACACAUAUAUACACAUAUAUACCCUGGUGAAAUCAGUUCUUGAUGGAAGAACAGUAGGCGCAAAUAGAACCAGGGCUUGUACAGCAAGGUUCACAUACGUAGCCGUUGAUACUGAAGAACAAACUCGGGCCUCUGGGGGUUCACCUCUUCCUCUGGCUGUGGACUAAUAACAGGAGCACACGGGAGGUUAAGGGCAUGCCACCUGGAAGCCCACGUCGCCGCCAGUAGCAGCGACCGUAAUUUACUGGUCUAUAAUCCUCCAUGCGUUUCAACGUGCUUUCCCGGCCAUCAUGUAAACGUUUCUCUUCGGUGGCCUAAAGUGGCCCUUCAUUCUCU